AACGAACGCUGGCGGCAGGCCUAACACAUGCAAGUCGAGCGCCCCGCAAGGGGAGCGGCGGACGGGUGAGUAACGCGUGGGAACGUGCCCUUUGCUACGGAAUAGCCCCGGGAAACUGGGAGUAAUACCGUAUAAGCCCUACGGGGGAAAGAUUUAUCGUCAAAGGAUCGGCCCGCGUUGGAUUAGGUAGUUGGUGGGGUAAUGGCCUACCAAGGUGAAGAUCCAUAGCGGGUUUGUGAGGAUGAUCAGCCACACUGGGACUGAGACACGGCCCAGACUCCUGCGGGAGGCAGCAGUGGAGAAUCUUAGACAAUGGGCUCAAGCCUGAUCUAGCCAUGCCGCGUGAGCGAUGAAGGCCUUAGGGUUGUAAAGCUCUUUCGUGGGGGAAGAUAAUGACUGUACCCCAAGAAGAAGCCCCGGCUAACUCCGUGCCAGCCGCCGCGGUAAAAC
rnacentral:rRNA from 1 species